CUAGCUUGUUGCUAACACUAUUUACUAAUGUCUGCUGACUAGCUUGUUGCUAACGCUACUUGCUAAUGUCUGCUGGCUAGCUUGUUGCUAACGCUAUUUGCUAAUUUCUGCUGGUUAGCUUGUUGCUAACGCUACUUACUAAUGUCUGCUGGCUAGCUUGUUGCUAACUCUACUUGCUAAUGUCUGCUGGCUAGCUUGUUGCUAACUCUACUUGCUAAUGUCUGCUGGCUAGCUUGUUGCUAACACGCCUCACACGGUUGUCCUCUGUUGCUGUACUGCAGUUUCUAAAAUGUUGCAUGAAUGUUUAAAGUUCACUGUUAGUAGAACAGUACCGGUAGUUAGGUAACUUUUUUUUCCUUUUCUUUCACAAAGCGUAAGAGUUCGUAGUGCAGGGGUGAAAAAGCUCAAUUUUUUUCAGAUUUGUCAUCAGUACAGUACGUCAGGAGUAGAGGUCUGUAGAUUCCUGUGGAUCUCAGAGGUCUGGCAGUGUGUUUCAAAUAGAUGACGUGGAUAUGAGGAUAUCAGAGCAAAACAGAAAUAUGACAAAGACAGAGGAUACCUGUCAAUAUAACAACAUUGACAGCGAUAUUGCAACAACAGCGAGAUGAUGAAAUUAUAUGAAACUAUAGGAGGCCGUUGUUUCUCUGCGCUAUGUGUUCUCUGAAACAAUCACUCCAAACAUUAUCCAACACUAUUUACUCACUGCAUGCCCACUUGUUCAUUUUCUAGAAAUUUCAGCUGAAGUAGCCUCUUAUUAUCUGAAGCACUAGUUGAACCUGUUUUCCUUUUCGAAACCUGUCGCUGUGCGUCCAUUUUAAAGCAAUAACUCAUCGAUGUGCAACGCCACUCGAUGGGCGAGCACUCACUCUGAUGGCUCCUCUCGCGAGCAAAACAGGUGCACGGCAGACGCGUGCAACAUUCGGCAGCACGGUUAUUCAGAUUCGCUGCGUGGCCCGGGUGGAAAAGUGCCGGAGUUUAAGUGUAGCUUUAUGUAUCAGUAUUUUACGCCGAUCUGAUUCGUCGGACGGCGUCGAAUCCUUUUCGAUAAGAGCAGCUCGGUAAAUAAUGCCAGCUCUAAGGCAAAUCGCAGAUCGAUAUCAACGUGAUAGUUUGAAUACAUUAUCGUUUCUAUAGUAACAGCUAACACAGGGACUUGUAUAACGGCUCUC
ensembl:lncRNA